GAUGAACGCUGGCGGCGUGCCUAAUACAUGCAAGUCGAGCGAACAGACGAGGAGCUUGCUCCUCUGACGUUAGCGGCGGACGGGUGAGUAACACGUGGAUAACCUACCUAUAAGACUGGGAUAACUUCGGGAAACCGGAGCUAAUACCGGAUAAUAUAUUGAACCGCAUGGUUCAAUAGUGAAAGACGGUUUUGCUGUCACUUAUAGAUGGAUCCGCGCCGCAUUAGCUAGUUGGUAAGGUAACGGCUUACCAAGGCAACGAUGCGUAGCCGACCUGAGAGGGUGAUAGGCCACACUGGAACUGAGACACGGUCCAGACUCCUACGGGAGGCAGCAGUAGGGAAUCUUCCGCACUGGGCGAAAGCCUGACGGAGCAACGCCGCGCGAGUGAUGAAGGUCUUCGGAUCGUAAAACUCUGUUAUUAGGGAAGAAAAAAUGUGUAAGUAACUAUGCACGUCUUGACGGUACCUAAUCAGAAAGCCACGGCUAACUACGUG
rnacentral:rRNA from 1 species